UACAGAGGGUGCAAGCGUUGUUCGGAAUCAUUGGGCGUAAAGCGCACGUAGGCGGCCUGCUAAGUCGGAUGUGAAAGCCCAGGGCUCAACCCUGGAAGUGCAUUCGAAACUGGCGAGCUUGAAUGUCGGAGAGGGCAGUGGAAUUCCGAGUGUAGAGGUGAAAUUCGUAGAUAUUCGGAGGAACACCAGUAGCGAAGGCGACUGCCUGGACGAACAUUGACGCUGAGGUGCGAAAGCGUGGGGAGCAACAGGG
rnacentral:rRNA from 1 species